rnacentral:rRNA from 1 species
GACGAACGCUGGCGGCGUGCUUAACACAUGCAAGUCGAACGGAAAGGCCCUGCUUUUGUGGGGUGCUCGAGUGGCGAACGGGUGAGUAACACGUGAGUAACCUGCCCUUGACUUUGGGAUAACUUCAGGAAACUGGGGCUAAUACCGGAUAGGAGCUCCUGCUGCAUGGUGGGGGUUGGAAAGUUUCGGCGGUUGGGGAUGGACUCGCGGCUUAUCAGCUUGUUGGUGGGGUAGUGGCUUACCAAGGCUUUGACGGGUAGCCGGCCUGAGAGGGUGACCGGCCACAUUGGGACUGAGAUACGGCGCAGACGCCUACGGGAGGCAGCAGUGGGGAAUAUUGCGCAAUGGGCGGAAGCCUGAUGCAGCAACGCCGCGUGCGGGAUGACGGCCUUCGGGUUGUAAACCGCUUUCGCCUGUGACGAAGCGUGAGUGACGGUAAUGGGUAAAGAAGCACCGGCUAACUACGUG